UACGGAGGGUGCAAGCGUUGUCCGGAAUCACUGGGCGUAAAGGGCGCGUAGGCGGCUCAUGAAGGCUGUGGUGAAAGUCCGGGGCUCAACCUCGGAUCGGCCGUGGCGACUCGUGGGCUGGAGCACUGUAGAGGCGAGUGGAAUUCCUGGUGUAGCGGUGAAAUGCGCAGAUAUCAGGAAGAACACCCGUGGCGAAGGCGGCUCUCUGGGACGGUACUGACGCUGAGACGCGAAAGCGUGGGGAGCGAACAGG
rnacentral:rRNA from 1 species